rnacentral:tRNA from 1 species
GUGUAGCUCCAAUUGGCAGAGCAGCGGAUUCCAAAUCCGCGUGUUGGGAGUUCGAAUCUCUCCAC